rnacentral:rRNA from 1 species
CACGUAGGGGCCAAGCGUUGUCCGGAUUUAUUGGGCGUAAAGGGCUCGUAGGCGGCCAACUAAGUCAGACGUGAAAUCCCUCGGCUUAACCGGGGAACUGCGUCUGAUACUGGAUGGCUUGAGUUCGGGAGAGGGAUGCGGAAUUCCAGGUGUAGCGGUGAAAUGCGUAGAUAUCUGGAGGAACACCGGUGGCGAAGGCGGCAUCCUGGACCGGCAUUGACGCUGAUGAGCGAAAGCCAGGGGAGCAAACGGG